rnacentral:rRNA from 1 species
AAGUCGUAACAAGGUCUCCGUAGGUGAACCUGCGGAGGGAUCAUUACACAAAUAUGAAGGCGGGCUGGAACCUCUCGGGGUUACAGCCUUGCUGAAUUAUUCACCCUUGUCUUUUGCGUACUUCUUGUUUCCUUGUGGGUUCGCCCACCACUAGGACAAUCAUAAACCUUUUGUAAUUGCAAUCAGCGUCAGUAACAAAUUAAUAAUUACAACUUUCAACAACGGAUCUCUUGGUUCUGGCAUCGAUGAAGAACGCAGCGAAAUGCGAUAAGUAGUGUGAAUUGCAGAAUUCAGUGAAUCAUCGAAUCUUUGAACGCACAUUGCGCCCUUUGGUAUUCCAAAGGGCAUGCCUGUUCGAGCGUCAUUUGUACCCUCAAGCUUUGCUUGGUGUUGGGCGUCUUGUCUCUAGCUUUGCUGGAGACUCGCCUUAAAGUAAUUGGCAGCCGGCCUACUGGUUUCGGAGCGCAGCACAAGUCGCACUCUCUAUCAGCAAAGGUCUAGCAUCCAUUAAGCCUUUUUUUCAACUUUUGACCUCGGCUCAGGUAGGGAUACCCGCUGAACUUAAGCAUAUCA